rnacentral:rRNA from 1 species
GUAGGUGGCAAGCGUUGCUCGGAAUUAUUGGGCGUAAAGCGCGCGCAGGCGGUUCUUUAAGUCUGAUGUGAAAGCCCACGGCUCAACCGUGGAGGGUCAUUGGAAACUGGAGAACUUGAGUACAGAAGAGGAAAGCGGAAUUCCACGUGUAGCGGUGAAAUGCGUAGAGAUGUGGAGGAACACCAGUGGCGAAGGCGGCUUUCUGGUCUGUAACUGACGCUGAGGCGCGAAAGCGUGGGGGAGCAAACAGGAUUAGAUACCCUGGUAGUCCACGCCGUAAACGAUGAGUGCUAAGUGUUAGGGGGUUUCCGCCCCUUAGUGCUGCAGCUAACGCAUUAAGCACUCCGCCUGGGAGUACGGCCGCAAGGCUG